rnacentral:rRNA from 1 species
AUUGAACGCUGGCGGCAGGCCUAACACAUGCAAGUCGAGCGGGGUUUUCGGACCUAGCGGCGGACGGGUGAGUAAUGCGUAGGAAGCUGCCCGAUAGAGGGGGAUACCAGUUGGAAACGACUGUUAAUACCGCAUAAUGUCUACGGACCAAAGUGUGGGACCUUCGGGCCACAUGCUAUCGGAUGCGCCUACGUGGGAUUAGCUAGUUGGUGAGGUAAUGACUCACCAAGGCGACGAUCUCUAGCUGGUUUGAGAGGAUGAUCAGCCACACUGGAACUGAGACACGGUCCGGACUCCUACGGGAGGCAGCAGUGGGGAAUAUGGGACAAUGGGCGCAAGCCUGAUCCAGCCAUGCCGCGUGUGUGAAGAAGGCCGUCGGGUUGUAAAGCACUUUCAGCGAGGAGGAAGGGGUGUGUGUUAAUAGUACACACCUUUGACGUUACUCGCAGAAGAAGCACCGGCUAACUCUGUGCCAGCCGCCGCAGUAACAC